UAUUCUGUAUUAUUUUUGGAAGUUUUGAUGUUUAGAUAUUUGGUCGAUUAAAAACUUAUCUUAUUUUGCUAUAAUACAUAAGUUAUUUAUUAAUUGUAUGAGUCUAUUUCUUAAACUUCAUUAACCUUACAUUAUGCAACUCAAGAAGUAGAUCCAUGUUUUUCUAUUUGGGCAAUUGCCUUGUCUUCAAUAUGUGGAUUGACUUUGAUUAUCAUUUGGCCUAUAAUUUAUAAAUAACUAAUCAUUUGAAUUCAGUUGGA
rnacentral:lncRNA from 1 species